rnacentral:rRNA from 1 species
CCUACGGGGCGCAGCAGUGGGGGAUAUUGCACAAUGGGGGGAACCCUGAUGCAGCGACGCCGCGUGGGUGAAGAAGCGCCUCGGCGCGUAAAGCCCUGUCAGCAGGGAAGAAAAUGACGGUACCUGAAGAAGAAGCCCCGGCUAACUACGUGCCAGCAGCCGCGGUAAUACGUAGGGGGCAAGCGUUAUCCGGAUUUACUGGGUGUAAAGGGGGACCAGACGGCGAUGCAAGCCAGGAGUGAAGGCCCGGGGCCCAACCCCGGGACUGGUCUUGGUACUGCGUGGCUGGAGGGCAGGAGGGGCAGGAGGAAUUCCUGGUGUAGCGGUGAAAUGCGUAGAUAUCAGGAGGAACACCGGUGGCGAAGGCGGCCUGCUGGACUGCAACUGACGUUGAGGCCCGAAAGCGUGGGGAGCAAACAGGAUUAGAUACCCGAGUAGUC